AGAGAGUCGAACAAGGUUCCGWASGUUGGCUGGGGAAGGAUCAUUUGG
rnacentral:rRNA from 1 species